rnacentral:rRNA from 1 species
GACGAACGCUGGCGGCGUGCCUAACACAUGCAAGUUGAGCGACGAACCAGGGCUUGCCCUGGGGCAAAGCAGCGAACGGGUGAGUAACACGUGGGUAACCUACCCCGAUAACCGGGACAACCCGAGGAAACUCGGGCUAAUACCGGACGUGCUCACUGGACUUCAGUUCAGUGCGUAAAGGAAGCUUCGGCCUCCGUAUCGGGAGGGGCCCGCGGCCCAUUAGUUUGUUGGUGAGGUAACGGCUCACCAAGACCGCGAUGGGUAGCUGGUCUGAGAGGACGAUCAGCCACACUGGGACUGAGACACGGCCCAGACUCCUACGGGAGGCAGCAGUGGGGAAUCUUGCGCAAUGCGCGAAAGCGUGACGCAGCAACGCCGCGUGGGGGAAGAAGGCCUUCGGGUUGUAAACCCCUUUCAGGAGGGACGAAGGUUCGGCGGUGAAUAGCCGUCCGGACUGACGGUACCUCCACAAGAAGCCCCGGCUAACUACGUG